rnacentral:lncRNA from 1 species
GUCAGAACAAAUUCUUAUUAACAAUGACGGCCUACCCCGGCCAAACCUUGACGACGCUGGGCCAAUUGUGCGCCGCCCUAUGGGACUCCCAACCAUGCAGCCUGGACUCUAACCAGGUACUGCAGUGACGCAAGAGGCGGGACUCUGCACCACUCGGGAGGUGGCUGAGCUGAAACAGAAAGUAAAGUUGUUCUUUUGUUCAGGAUCCAUUUUGAGACGACAGAGCAGAAAACACUAUAUGGAGACUAUUGAAAAAUAAAUGUCAACUUGAAUUAGAGUGUGGCUGUGGAAGACUGGUCCCUUGAUGAUGUCUGCAAGUGGCUGAGUACCAAUGAUCUCCAUGAUUCCAUCCCAUCAUUCCAAGGUUCACAAUCUGUCUGCAGAAUGCCAACUCUAUUCAACUGUCCACUUCGCAACGAGCAUCCUUUCUCUGUGUCCAGACUACUCACACAUAUUGUCCUCUAUCACCAGCAUGAACCACAUGUUGUAAUGACCUGUGGAGUUAAUGGCUGUGGGGAAAACAAAUAGAUGUUUCAGCAUCUAUCGGUCACACAUCUACCAAAACCACACAGAGAUUUUAAGCACCAACUUAGAUGAGAAUUGUCCUCAUGAUGAAUUUGAGACUGGGACUGAUCCCAUUGAAGAUGACAUGACCGAUGUAG